UACGUAGGGUGCGAGCGUUGCCCGGAUUUAUUGGGCGUAAAGGGCGCGUAGGCGGCCACGCACGUCCGUUGUGAAAUCGCCCGGCUCAACUGGGCGGGGUCGGCGGAUACGGCGUGGCUGGAGCAAGCUAGGGGGCAAUGGAAUUCCCGGUGUAGUGGUGGAAUGCGUAGAUAUCGGGAGGAACACCAGUGGCGAAGGCGGUUGCCUGGAGCUUUGCUGACGCUGAGGGCGCGAAAAGCGUGGGGGAGCGAUCCGG
rnacentral:rRNA from 1 species